UACGAAGGGGGCUAGCGUUGUUCGGAAUCACUGGGCGUAAAGCGCACGUAGGCGGCUUGCUAAGUCAGGGGUGAAAUCCUGGAGCUCAACUCCAGAACUGCCUUUGAUACUGGCGACCUUGAGUCCGGGAGAGGUGAGUGGAACUGCGAGUGUAGAGGUGAAAUUCGUAGAUAUUCGCAAGAACACCAGUGGCGAAGGCGGCUCACUGGCCCGGUACUGACGCUGAGGUGCGAAAGCGUGGGGAGCAAACAGG
rnacentral:rRNA from 1 species